rfam:Brachypodium distachyon strain Bd21 chromosome 5, whole genome shotgun sequence.
UAAGUACUCUCUCUGACCAACAAAAGAUGUCUUAAGUUUUUCAAAAUUUGAAUGUAUCUAGACAUGACUUAGUGUAUAGAUGCAUUCAAAUUUAGUCAAAGUUGAGAUAUCUUUUAUUGGACGGAGGAAGUACUAU